UCCUUCGCAACAUCCCCAAUCCGAAUUUUGACAUCUGGACAAGCUCUAUAUAAUUCGCCUCGUGUGUUAUUAGCUGCUCGUAUUGCCCAUCCAUGUUCCAUAUCAAUUGGCCAUUUUUGCUUCUUAUAAAGAUCUUUAGACAUGAGAUUUAUUUCAGAACCAUGGUCCACCAAGGCAACUAUUGGUUCUUCUAUAUCUCCUACCUUCACCAAUACCUCAGUAGUUGCCCUUGCCCAAUGCU
rnacentral:lncRNA from 1 species